rnacentral:rRNA from 1 species
UCCACGCCGUAAACGAUGUCUACUAGGUCGUGGAGGUUCUGACACCUGCACGGCCGAAGCAAAAGUGUUAAGUAGACCGCCUGGGGAGUACGGUCGCAAGGCUAAAACUCAAAGGAAUUGACGGGGGCUCACACAAGCGGUGGAGCAUGUGGAUCAAUUCGAAGCAACGCGCAGAACCUUACCUGGGUUUGACAUGCUUGGAUGCCUGCCUGGAAACAGGUUAGGCUGCCUUCGGGUGAAACUUGCACAGGUGCUGCAUGGCUGUCGUCAGCUCGUGUCGUGAGAUGUCGGGUUAAGUCC